GGCACCACCACCACCAUGGGCAUCCCCAUGGGCACCCCCACGGGCACCCCCCUCCAGGGGUGCCGGUGUGCCCACCGUGCCAGCCUGACUGCCAUCAUAAGAAGCACAAGAAGAACAAGAAGAAACACACGAAGUGCAGCCAUAAGCACCAUGGAGGCAAGCACUCCUCAAGCAGCUCAAGCAGCAGCAGUUCUGAUUCUGACUAAAGAGCAUGGCUCCCACCUGCUUGCUGAGGAAUGAACAGAAGCAAAGCAUGAAGAUGAAUGUGCCAUGAGGAUUACCAGUUUGUUCCUUUCCCCUUUCUCUGCAAACUGGAGUUGGCUGUUGGGUGAUUUUUCCUGGUUUUAGUUUGUAAAUUCGGUAGUCUGAAAUCACUGCAUGAAUACAACCAGCAAUUCCUCCCUGUCUUUAGCUACAGCCCCUGCCUGCAUAGGGAUUCACUCUCAUACCUCUGCAUUUCACUAAAAAUGACUCAUGAAGACUGUAGACAGCAGCACAGGGAGCACCACGUCAUGACUUGCAGUCUGCUCUUUGAUGUGUGACCACCACUGUAUGAUAUGGAUGAUGUAUGAUAGUCUAAAGGGAUCCCAUCACUUGUUAGAGCUCCUUAAAUUUUGUGUAAACCUUGUUACUUGUGGUCCCUCUCUUGAUAAACUGUACAGAUUACCAUUGUAAAAUUUU